AUACUACGACAUAGUGAAGUCUCAAAAGGGUAAAGACCUGAUCCUCAUCGACGGGUAUACAUUCUCCUCGUCGAGGACGAGGAAGUUCUGGUUAUGUUCCACCAAGAACCCCAACUGCAAGGCGAAGCUGACGCUCGACAACGAUGGGAGAAUUACCAAAAUACACAACGUACAUUGUCAUAAACCUAGGGUGUAUAAGAAGGCAUCUGACGGGACAAUCAUUCGAGUUUGAUACGUUUUAUUUUUAUUAAAAAAAAUCAAGAGUAAGCGCGAUUAGGUACGCACAUAGCCUAAUGGUUAAGAUAUUGUUUAUAAAUUAAUUAUAGCAUUUAUUAUUUUGAUUAUUAACAAUAAUACUGUAAAGAUUUAUCGGAAUCCGUACAGUAGUUUUUGAAGAAAGAGUAUGUAGAUUCUUUCUGUUUCCAUUCCAGCUCUAUUUUUAAUUAAGCAACAUUAAAAGCUAGGUAAUGAUGUAAAUUAUAAAAGAAAUUAAUUAUAUUUUAGGAAUUAUUAAAAUAUUUGUUUUUUAUUGGUGCCUUGUUGAUUGGGCAAAGAAUUUUAUAUUGACUUAAUUGGAAAUAAUAACAAUGAUUUAAUAUGCAGCACUCAAGCAAAACAUCCUGUAUAUUGUUUUUAUCUGUCAACUCGCGUUACUAACUUUAAUUUGCUUUUAGAAAAAGGCUACAUAUUUGUGAAGUCUCGAAGAGGGAGAGAUCUCAUAAUGAUGGAUAACUAUACUUACUCUCACGUGAAACCCUAUUGGAAGUGUUCCAGCUACCCUCGAUGCAAGGCCAGGCUGAAGCUAGACAAGGAAGGCAAUAUUACUUGGGUGCACAAACAGCAUAGUGCGCACCCUACGCGGAAGUUAUUCGUAUCUAACAGCGGAACGAAUUUUGUCAUAUAAUAUUUAAAACCAUCAUGUUCAUGUUGCAUUUUUUACAGUUUAUCGUUAUAAAAGUUUUUGUUGCAAAAUCCCGUGAGAGUGAUGACUUUUGUCAUUUCGACGUAUAAGCCAGUUAAUAAAGUAAUAUUACAGGGAAAUGUGAGGAAUACAAUUUCUGACUUCGUGACUUUAUUUAGACUAGUUAGAUGAAUAUUUCCAGAUUACAGGCUUUCUAGAUUCUAGAGCACAUGUUUCGAAAACUAUACAAGUUAAAGAAAAUUUUUACUAAUGGGCUGAGCUAGUGAGCGCGUUUAAAAAAUCUCUAUCAUCUUUAGAAAAUAAGUAAAAGUUGUGGAUUUAUAUUGAAAUUGUGUGUGUGUUAUUUUAAUGAAUAAGAAAAAAGGCAAUAAAAUGUUUCCUUGA